UAUUGUUCUGAUUUUGGAACCUCUCGAAAAGGUGAGCUACACUGUCUUCUAAAAAAAGUAACUUUGAAAGCGAAGCUGUAAAAUUAAUUAAAGAGAAAUCUCAUAAUUAACGUGCUAUGAACAGUAAAAUGAUAAUAUGCCAAAUUUAAAAUUAUAACAACAAAACGAGUUUAAAUAUUUUAGAUUUCGUUUUUCUUUUUUUUGACCAUGGAGUUUAGAUCCUUCGAUUAGUACAUUCCCUUACAACGAGAUCCAGAUUAUAUAACCUAACCUAUGAUUUUUAAUAUUCUCUUACAUUUUCGGCAAUUUAAAAGUAUAACCAUUAGGCUAAUUUAUCGUCGGUUAUAAUGUUAGAUCUAGUUUUUUUUCUGUAUAUAGUUACAUAACAGAAAAUUGUGUGUUUUGUUAUGUACAUAAUCACAAUUACAUAUAUAUAUUUAUCAUCAAAAACACUAUGUAGCAUUUAAAUGAAUGUAUUAUAUACUAAUGUAGUAAUAUAAAAUAAUAUAAUAUAUAUAAGAUGUGUGUGUGUGACAUGAUUCGAGAAUUCGUUUAAAUUUUUGAAUAGUUGUCACCAGCGUUUUGUUUUUAUAAUUAUAAAGGAGAUUUUUGAUGAUAUAAAUAAUUUAUUUAUUAUUACCAAAAAAAUCCAGACAUUUCGACAUAGAUCAGUUAAAUUUGUUCCCUCUUCUCUUUGAUAUUUAGAUACAAAGAAAAAAUUUAGAAUGUAAUACAUAUAUAUGUUAGAUUUGUUCAUUUGUAUUUUUCAUGAUACUAUUUUUUAUUAAAGAAUGUUAGUUUCGAUUUGUGUUCCACAUAUAUUUAUAUCAGUGUCAUAUUAUAAAAUGAUAUUUUUAAAAAUAAAAAAUUAGGUAUGCAGAUGGAUUAAAUCUCAGAGAAUGUGGACAGUAUGGGUUGAAAAUAAAAUACUUAGAAGACCUUGGUCUAGGCUAUGCUUAUUAAGAACUUUUAAAUUCAUAAAAUGUGAUUUGCAGUCUUAUAUAAUCAUAGUUUCAUGAUUACGGCUUUAAAGGAUUGUAACAAAGCAAUGGCUCUUCAAAUGUGCCUUAUGGCAAGACACGGAAGCACGGACGAGCAAGUGGACUUAAAGGUUGGUCGGUGAUCGGGUGUGGUCAGGUGGUCGAGUGAGCAAUGGUCAGUGCGAUGGGAAUGAUGGUCGAAAUGAAAAGGCCGAAGGCAAAUGAGCUAUGGUCAAGAGGAAUGAGAUUGAGAUUGCUGGCCAUGUGGUACUCUCAGUUUGAUCAGAGUAUGGUUGAAGUGGACGAUGGUGGAACGAAGUUUGUUAAUUGUGUUACUCUCCCAAGCUUGGCCGAUGGAUGGAAUGGAAUGAUGGUGAAACGAGGACGACACAUAAUUCUAUGAAUAGGAACUUUGAUUAGUUGGCUUACUCUCAAGGAUUGAUUCUCAUAAACGCUCAAUAUAUUUAUUUAUUUGAUAAGGCAAAAAGUUUUUCAUUAUUGAUUUCUUGGUAAAAAUACAAGACUGCUUGUAUGGGACUUAUAUACAUCGUCCAAUGCAGUUUUCCUUUCUAGUGGUCGUGGAACAAAUGGAACACAAAGACUCGAUUCUAGAACUUAAAAGGAGGCUAAACAAGUGUUUUUUAUUUAACUUAAGCUUAAAAAAAGAAACAACGUAAACAAAAGGGUAAAUCAGUUAGUCAGGUAAAUCAAAGUAUUUUAAAUGCUUAUAUACCUUUUCUUUUAUUUAGGGAAUGUUAACUAGGUGUUUGGUGGAGCCAAGCAUGAACCGACAUGUUGAAGUGUGGCGUUUUGGUCUUGGAACAAGGUGCACCAUUUCACUUAAGUGGGAGAAUGAUACAUAUGCAAAAUCCAUUCAUCCUUUUGAUUGUUGGCUUAAUAGAUGCUUAGACCUCCUUGUGUAUUAUAUGGUCGAUCCUUGUUCGAGUUGGUUUGGCCGGUUUGAUUGUCAUCUUUCGAUUAGAUCAUGAAGACUUGGAAAGCUUGGUUAAAUCUUUCUCUUAAGACCCAACUACCUGACUGGUGGUCGACCUUGUCAAACAAUUAAAAUAUCAGAUUCUAUGUCUUCAUGAAUUAAUUAAGUUUAUGAAAUUUUUUUGACUAAUCCAUGAGACUGAACGAUAUUUAGGGUCGGUCUUAAGAUAAAUCUCAUAAAACAAAAACUUUAGACGCCGGAUAUUAUAAAAAAAAUUGAGGCCUCAGUUAUAGAAAAUUUCUUUGCUAUAGUGGUUUAAGGACUUGAAAAUCUUCUACAGGUGUUGAAAUUGAUUCCACUAGGACCAUCUCUAACCCAUCUCUAUAAUAGAGAUCUCUAAAAUAGAGAAAAAAAUAGAGAUGAUGUUUUUACUCCAAUGUGUUCCUCUAUAAUAGAGAAAUGCUAUAUUUGCCUCUAUAAAUAGAGGAAUGCUAUUUUUCCCCCUAAAUAUAGAGGAAAAAAAUAGCAUUCCUCUAUUUAUAGAGGCAAAUAUAGCAUUUUUCUAUUAUAAAGGAACGCAUUAGAGCAAAAAUACCAUAUCUAUUUUUGUCUCUAUUUUAAAGAUCUCUAUUAUAGAGAUGGGUUGGAGAUGCUCUAAGGAUCAGUUCUUUCAUACAUUUACGACGUUGUGUCUGCAGUACAUCAUUACCACUCAGAGAGUUUUGGGUUGCUUCGGGUUUUAUUUUCUGACAACAAAAGUUAUACUAUACUACUGGGUUACAUUGGUUAGAUACCAAUGUCCUCAUGUUUGGAAAUCCAAAUGCUUUUACGGUUUUACUUGCCAAAAGGCUAUUGGCAGCUUAGUCCUUUUCUCUUUAUAUAUUAACCAUCUAAUGAUCAUGAGAAAUGACAAUUAUUAUUUGAUAAUUAAUGUUUUGAGAAAUUAGUAUUUUCCGGAUAAAAAUGUCAAUAAGAUAGCGUGGGCGAUGAGCUAGCAACCACGCUUGUGAUUUUCAUCAUUGGUCUUUGAAGUGAUAACAAACAAACGAAAAAUAAACUAUUGUAUUUUGGAUUCUAAAUACAUGUGAAACAACACGAUUAUAUUCAUUUUAGGUAAUAUAGUGGAUUUUCAAAUUUGAAAUAUGAAUCGAAACUAUUAAAUACAUCUCUGAAACUGAUCUUAAAUAAUAUUUUCGUGAAUUAUUUUGAUGUUUUAAAAGUUAUGUAUAAAAUAAGAAACCAUUUUCUUUAAUAGAUUAAUUUAUCAAAAUUAUUAUCUACGCCAAUUUGGCAAUUUUCUGUGUAUUGUACGGUCUAUUCUGUCGCCUCCGUCAAAUUCGAGCUAAGAAAAAGUUAAUUGCUUGUUCCCUUGUUCUUUAUUGUGUUCUUUUGUUGCUACUUCUUAUAAUUAUAUGAAUUCUUCAAACAGCCAUCUGGAUCAAGAAUUUCAAAUUCGUAUUACAAAUAGUUAUUUAUUCCAGUUUUCGAGUUUGUUAUUUAAUUUUGAAUUAUAUGUUUUCAAUUUCGAACAUUUUUAUAUAUUUUUUUAAAAAAAUUUCUUUUUGAAACUAUUUUUAUUUAAUAUUUUAAAAUCAUUAAUAUUCGUAAGUGUAAUUAUUCAUAUUUAUAUUAAAAAUAAUAUUUUUAAAAUAAUUAUAUAUUCAAAAAUGUGAACAUAUGUAAAUGUAAUGAUUUAUAGUGUUGGAUAUAUAAUUUGGAUUUAAGGUGCAAUAGUUGGUAAGAAUAAUUAUUUUGUUUUAUAUUUUUUAUUACAAAGAUUUUGAAAAAUCACAUGAAUACAUAUGAUACUUUGAAAAUUGAGUAUUAUGAGUAAAAAAGAAUGGAAUUCAUCUCUCAAUAACACUAGAUUUAGUUAGAACUAGAGAAUCAAUAACAACUAAACUUUUUGAAUAACAAAAGAUUUGAAUGAAUUUUGAAAAUUCUUGGGGGGGGGGGGGGGGGGGGGGGGGGGGGGGGGGUUAUUGGGAGAUGAAUUUGUGUAGAGUUUGAAUUUUAAGAAUCCAUUGUUAUUGGUUCUUGGAUUUCAAAAACCUUAGUAUAAUCUAUUUUUAUUGAUUUAAGAAUUUUUAAAAUCCAUUCAAAUCUCUUGUUAUUCAAAACGUUUAGUUAUCAUUAAUUCUCUAAUUCUAACUAAAUCUAGUGUUAUUGGGAGAUGAGUUCUAUUCAUCUUUACUCAUAAGACUCAACUCUCAAAAUAUCAUAUGUAUCCAUGUGAUUUUCAAAAUCCUUGUGAUAAAAAUACUAGAAAACAAAAUAAUUAUUCUUACCAAAUAUCUAUUGCACCUUAAAUCCAAAUUACAUGAAAAUCUAUAUCAAUCUAAAAAAGUUAUGAUCAAAUUUCAUAAGUCAAUGUAUAUAAAUUUUCACAAUCCACAUAAUUUUUUUAAAUCUAUCAACUCUCAAAAUUCACAAACUCUACACAAAUUCAUCUCCAAAUAACUAAUAAGAAUCAAUUGUAACAAAAAAAUUUGAAAUCCAGAAACAAAUAACAUUGGAAUCUCCCCAUCUCUCAACCCCCCCCCCCCCCCACUCUUAUUUUACUACUCCCUUCGUAUUUUAAUAUAAGUCGUUUUACAGCUAUGCACAUAGAUUAAGAAAAUCAUUAAUUUUUUAUAUUUUCGAAACAAAAACAUCAUUAAUUAUUUACCUAACCACAAUUCAACCAAUAGAAAAAUAGAAGAUAUAUUAUCAUUGGUCAGACAUCAUUAAUUAUUAAUAAAUGUUAUAUAAAAAACCGAAAACGACUUAUAUUGAAAAAUGGAGGGAGUAUUACGGAAUCUAACGACCGUUACAGUUGAUAACUUAAUGCAAAACAAGCGUCAAUUUUCAUUGAUUCUCGUGCUAGGGUUUUAAAUGCCAUUUCGGAAGUGUUAGUGUGGGGACGUGACGUCUGAAAUUUAACGGGACCGUUACUACUAAAUAACUAAGCUUUUAAGGAUCUGUCAUUUACGUAGGUGACAGACAGAUACAUCCAAUUAUACCUCGCCACCUGCACGUUCCACUUCUAAAAAUCACAGACGUGAAGAGAAAGAAGAAAAGCUCUGUGGAUCCGUGGUACUCCUACAGCUUCUGUGAUUUUUAAGAUAACAAAUCUAAAUCCACUGAAUCUCGUGAAGUGUGAUGUCUGAUGUGACGCCACUCGAGACAAACUACUUUAUUUUUCCAAUUAAUAAAAAUAAAACUGGCACAAAAUCAGUUAAAAAUAAGAUGGUUAUCAACUUAAGUAUUAGUACUAAAAAGUUAAUGUACACAAUAAUUUAACAGUUAACACUUUUAUAAUUAACCAACGGUCAUGUCCUAAAUAAUACAACCAAAAACAUAUCAAGUAUGAAACUAAUUAAUUACUUGGGACAAAGCUAGUUUUGUGCGAAAAGAAAAUUGUUACAAACUUUCGUUGACUUUAGUUUAUUUUGUGGGGGAACCAUGUUUAAAGACAAGUUAACAUAAAAUUAGGGCACAUUUGAUAGUAUAUAUAUAAUAUAUAUAACAUACGUGUAUGUAAAGGUUGGCCUAGGAGAGAAAGAUGGGGCAAAAUAGAACUAAGUCUAAGUCGAAGAUGGGUCAUUGAGAUUUUUUUACAGAUUUCUUUAUAUGGGUCAUUGAGAUGAAAGGCAUAAUUUAAACUUUGAAUAUUAGAAAAAAAAUCUAAGCUCUUUUGUCCCAUCUCUUGGCUUCAUGAAAGAGAUCGACCACAUAACGUAUGAUAUGUGUAGCCUUAAUCUUCUCCACAUGUAUAUGCAACCCAAACACUAACCAACAUAUAAGAUAUAUAUAUAUAUAAUUGUAGAACAAUAAGAUCCAAUAAUAGGAUGACAUGUGCACCAAACUGUAUAUAUGUAUUUAUCCAGCGCAACUUACUCAAGCUAAUAUUUCGUGAGUGUUUAUUAUUUAGAAUUCAUGUUUGAAAAACUAUAACAAGAUAUUAUAAAGUCCAAGUUCAAUGGAUUGACAAUGAUAAAUUGUAUACUCUAAGAAAAACAUAAUAAUCAGAAACUUUUAUAAACUCCAACCGCUCUCCAUAAUUUGUUUGUGAAAUUUGUGAAUUAAUCCUAACUACCAUAUGUUUUGUUCAUCUGUUUUUAUUAUUGUUUACAACUUCAUACAUGCAUUAACGAGUUAUGUUUAAACUCAUGUUAUAAUAUGGGAAAUUCAUCAAUAAACAAUAAAUCCCGAUCAAUAUUAGACUAUAUACAAGUAUUGAUCACCUGUUUUUCAAUUCUAGAAAUUACUUCUAAAUCUUUUGUGCUAUCUAAGGUUUAUAUGUUUCAGACACAUAAACCAUAUAAUUUUCAGAGACAAAAGCCAUAUUUAAAUCAAUAAUUAAGAUCAUCAAUUUGGUUCUGAACAUGCAUGUGAAAUUUGAAUGUUAUAAGAAAAUACAUAAUAAACAAAAAGUAAUAUAUAUAUAUAUAUAAUUGACUGAAUCUCAAUACUAUUGAUACUAUUUUCUAAAAAUACCAUUGUUUGUUGUCCAUUUAUUAAAUACACUGAUAUGUUUUCAGAAAGUUCUUUUCUGCAGAUAAACUUUCAUAAGCCAGUUUAUAAAAUACAUUUAGUUUGAUAAUAAAUAUUAUCAAAGAUUAAUAAAUUUGUCGAAAUAUCUAUACUAUUAUUUGAGAAGUUAAUUUAUUGAUUUGUCAUGCUUCCCAUAAUUUUAGGUUUAGUCAUAUUUUAUGUUCAAUCAUUAAUUUUAAUGAAUAAUUUGGUGAUUUAUAUGAUAAUUUAUUUUAUUUUGAGAAUACAUAAAAAAUUAUAACGAUAAUAUCAUAGUUAAAUUUAUAUUAUAUAUUAUGUAGUAAUACUAAAAUACAAUUAUAUGUUUAUAUUAUAUUUGGUUUAGUAAUAUUAAACCGACUCUAUUUUAGUAUAUAUACCACAUAAGAUAGAAUGAAUCAUUUAUCUUUUAAAAUAAUUAUUUUUAAUACAUUCAAAAUCAAUCAUUUUGAUAAUUUCUGAAAAAAGUUGGCAAAGAAUUCAAAAAAAUUUAUAAGAUUUGAGCGUUUAAAGUCUUAAUUACUCUUCAUAAAUAAUUAGAUUAGAUUUGUUGAUAUAUAAUUACUUAUAAAUUAAAAAUUAAUUUCAAUAAUAUGAUAAUCAUCAUUAUCUAAAAAUAUUUGAUAUAUUAUGUUAUCCAAAAAUACUUUACAUCAUAAUAUUUUCAAAUAAAUAUAAAUAUAUUUACAUAGUUUUAUGUAUAUAUGAAUGUUUACAAGUUUAUUUUACGUAAUAAAAUAAUUUAUUUAAAUAAUUUAUUUAAAUAAUUUUUUUAUCAAAUAAUUUUAUAUUUAAAUAAUUAUUAAAUAUUUCAAAAGCAUGAAAAUAAUUUAUUUAAAUGGUUUUCGAAUUGAUAAUAUAUCUAUUUACAUCGUUAUAAGCUAAUUUAUAAAAUGAUCUUAAAAUUUUCAUAAUAGCAUUUUUUAAAAAAAAUUAUAUCAUAAAAAUGAAAUUUCUCAAAAUUUCAUAGAAUCUGAAAAUAUAAUAUCUCUAAUGAGAUUUGUGGGCGUUGGUCAAAGAUAUCUUGGUUAGAAAAAAUAGCUAAAUAUAUUUACACAAUUAGUGAGAAAAAGAAAAAAAAUACAUCUAAACAUUUCAAAUUUAAAUUAUUUUGUAAUUGAAUAGUUUCUUUUUUCAAAUUAUUUAUGUUAAAAUAUUUUAAGUUUUUUUUUAAACAUCGACAGCUGAAAAAAAUACAAAAAAUAAAGAAAGCAGGAAAUACAUAUCAAACCACAACCCGGUUUAUCUUGACCGGGAUAUCCCUUAUAUAUUAUUUGAGAAGCAUUGCAACAUUUUUUUGUAGCCACGUGUCAUCACUAGAAUGAUUCUCAGAAUCCUUAGAGAAAUAUGUUGGUCCAUCUAAAUAUAUAAUAAACUUUUUAUUAAAC